rnacentral:tRNA from 1 species
AGGGUUGUGGCUCAGUGGUAGAGCACCUGCCUGGCACUCAUGAGGCCCUGGGUUCCAUCCCCAGCACUGCAA